CCUACGGGCGGCAGCAGUGGGGAAUAUUGGACAAUGGGCGAAAGCCUGAUCCAGCCAUGCCGCGUGUGUGAAGAAGGCCUUCGGGUUGUAAAGUACUUUCAGUGGGGAAGAAAGCCUUGGGGCUAAUACCCUCGAGGAAGGACAUCACCCACAGAAGAAGCACCGGCUAACUCCGUGCCAGCAGCCGCGGUAAUACGGAGGGUGCGAGCGUUAAUCGGAAUUACUGGGCGUAAAGCGCGCGUAGGCGGUCUGAUAAGCCGGUUGUGAAAGCCCCGGGCUCAACCUGGGAACGGCAUCCGGAACUGUCAGGCUAGAGUGCAGGAGAGGAAGGUAGAAUUCCCGGUGUAGCGGUGAAAUGCGUAGAGAUCGGGAGGAAUACCAGUGGCGAAGGCGGCCUUCUGGACUGACACUGACGCUGAGGUGCGAAAGCGUGGGUAGCAAACAGGAUUAGAUACCCCGGUAGUC
rnacentral:rRNA from 1 species